rnacentral:tRNA from 1 species
GGUUUGUGGUUCAGUGGUAGAGCACUUGCCUAGCAUGUAGGAGGCACUGGGUUUGAACCUCAGCACUG